rnacentral:rRNA from 1 species
UCUUUCCGGAAUUGAGUGGCAAACGGGUGAGUAACACGUAAACAACCUGCCUUCAGGAUGGGGACAACAGACGGAAACGACUGCUAAUACCGAAUAAGUUCCAAGAGUUGCAUGGCCCAUGGAAGAAAAGGUGGCCUCUACCUGUAAGCUAUCGCCUGAAGAGGGGUUUGCGUCUGAUUAGCUAGUUGGCAGGGCAACGGCCUACCAAGGCGACGAUCAGUAGCCGGUCUGAGAGGAUGAACGGCCACACUGGAACUGAGACACGGUCCAGACUCC